rnacentral:rRNA from 13 species
UUAAAUUGAAGAGUUUGAUCAUGGCUCAGAUUGAACGCUGGCGGCAGGCCUAACACAUGCAAGUCGAACGGUAACAGGAAGCAGCUUGCUGCUUUGCUG